AUUCACUCUAUGUAAAAAGCAUCUCAGGAAAAAAGAAAAAAAAGAAAGUGUAAAAGUUACUAGACCUGUUUGUAUUCAAACGAGCAGUUUAAUUACCAGAUGAGACAGAGAUCUAACCCCAUACAUAUACCCACAUACAAAUCAUCCUGAAUAUUACUUUCCAGAGAAUUGAAAUCUGGAGGAGAGAAACUCCCUCAUUCUGUCAUCACUGUCUGCUGACUUCGGUGAAACAUAAAGGCGCCCAGGCACAGGAAGGUAAGUGGUAGAAGUAGAAGCCUUGUCAUUACCCAGCAGUAUGGAUCGUGUUAUUGUGUCUGACCCUGAGUUCUGCAUGGUCACCCACCUCUGCAUUGAGUACCCAGGGGAUAAUUCAUCAUAAAUGAAAAUGUUCCCGGUAAAGGUGGGGGGAGGAGUCAUUGGUCAUGGCUAGAGCUGGGAUUUAUUGCAUUAUAAUAAGUUAAUUAACUGCUGCACUCAUUGCAUUUUAAAGAAUGAGAAUAGGUCGGAGGAGCCAAGAUGGCUGAAUAGGAACAGCUCCGGUCUACAGCUCCCAGCGUGAGCGACACAGAAGACGGGUGAUUUCUGCAUUUCCAUCUGAGGUACCAGGUUCAUCUCACUAGGGAGUGCCAGACAGCGGGCGCAGGUCAGUGGGUGCACGCACCAUGCGCGAGCCAAAGCAGGGCGAGGCAUUGCCUCACUUGGGAAGCGCAAAGGGUCAGGGAGUUCCCUUUCCGAGUCAA
rnacentral:lncRNA from 1 species